AUUUUGAAGGACUACCUGUUUCAGCCAGAUCACACCUGUUUCCUAUGUUAUCUCCGGUUCACCUUACACACCUGUCCAUAGUUAGUAAUCACCGCCAGUAUUUAAGCACCACCUCAGCCAGCAGUCAAACGCUAGAUUGUUGCGUGUGUACUCACCUCUUUCCCGCAUUGCCGUGUUAGUUUACCUGGAUCCUGACCUUGUUCCUGAACCUCGUUACUCCUGAUUCCUGCCUGCUCCUUGUCUGUACCUCUGCUACGAUAACCUGACCUGAACCUGCCCGCUGCCUUUGUACUGUCACUGAAGCUUCCUCGUGUAUGAACCUUCCUGACCUGACCACGUUUGUAUCAAUAAAACCUGUCUCCAGCUAAACUACAAUCUUGUCUGACGCUGUGCAUGUGGGUCCGACAUCUGCCUAAACCCGACAAUAAGAGUCCAGUGGAGGCCCAGGACAGAGCCGGCCUUCCUCACCAGCUGCUUCAGCCUUUUCCUGCCUGCUCCCCAGCAGACCACAGCGUGGUGGAGGACAGGGGUCUGAUUAUCAGUGUGCGUCCAGUCCAGUCUGUUGUUUAGGUGAACACACAGUCCACAAACUCCACGAUGUACUCCAGUUCAUCCAACCAGGGUCGAGUCAUCUGAGAACUGCGGCUGAAUAACACCAGGUUUGUAAAGACAUCUGGCCAGAUGAGCGU